GACCGCGUAGCUCAGUUGGCAGAGCAUUGGGCUAGUAUUCCAAAGGUCGUAGGUUCGAUCCCCACCGUGGUCA